UUCUAUGGGCGGGCAGCAGUGGGGAGACCUUCGGGUCUGCCGGUUCCUUCGUUCCGGUUCGCCAACCCCGUUGUAUGCCUGCCCACCACU
rnacentral:antisense_RNA from 1 species